GGAAAUUGGAAGAUAAAAGGGAGGAGUCACAGUUCAGAGCGGAGAAGACUCAAGAUUUGAAAUUCGUAUUGGCUCACCAAGAAGCAGAAUGGAAAAGUGAUAUCCAAAGCCUUAAAUGUUCUUUGAAACAAGAAGAGGCAAAGAGACUCAGAGUAGAAGUGCUGUGUGAGAAAAUGAGAGAAAAACUGCAAAGGAAAGAAGAUCAAUAUUGUAAAGAAAUGGAGGAGAAACAGAAACUUGAGUUACACUCAAGGAAUUUAGAAAUGGAGUUAAGAACACUGAGAAAGCUCUUGAAACAGGUUGAAGAGGAACGUGAUGAAACACAGAGACAGCUCUCUCAGGAAAAGAGGGCCAGAGCCCUUCAAGAAGGAAUUUUGAACAACCACCUUGGGAGACAAAGGGAACUAGAAGAAGAGACGAGAAGAUCUAUAGGAAAAAAAUCAGAGGU